ensembl:snRNA
UUAGUCUAUGAAAUAGAGAAUGUUAGCACAAUCCUUGAUAAGCAUAGUCCUAGUGGCUUUUACAGUACAUGUAUAGUUAAGUCAUUGCCACCUACUCUGUGGCAUCUAACUAUUCCAAUGU